rnacentral:rRNA from 1 species
AUACGUAGGGGGCAAGCGUUGUCCGGAAUGAUUGGGCGUAAAGGGCGCGUAGGCGGCCCGGUAAGUCUGAAGUGAAAGUCCUGGUUUUAAGUUGGGAAUUGCUUUGGAUACUGUCGGGCUUGAGUGCAGGAGAGGUAAGUGGAAUUCCCAGUGUAGCGGUGAAAUGCGUAGAGAUUGGGAGGAACACCAGUGGCGAAGGCGACUUACUGGACUGUAACUGACGCUGAGGCGCGAAAGUGUGGGGAGCAAACAGGAUUAGAUACCCUGGUAGUCCACACUGUAAACGAUGAAUGCUAGGUGUAGGGGGUAUCGACCCCUUCUGUGCCGCAGUCAACACAAUAAGCAUUCCGCCUGGGGAGUACGGCCGCAAGGUUGAAACUCAAAGGAAUUGACGGGG